rnacentral:lncRNA from 1 species
CCAUUAUUAUUGUGAUAUUAUUCUUGUUAUAUUGGAGCUAAGAGAGUGAAAGAUAGGUUAUCUUUUCUGUGGCCACUUAUUAAGUUUGUAAAUUUUGUAUGCAUUGCUAGUCUGGAGUUUUAGAUUGAUCAGUGUUCAGCUAAGGAUGCAUUUCUUUUAGUUGCUAGAGUUUUGACUACCAAAAGUAUGAUUUGAAGCCUUGAUGAGUUCUUGAGUAUGCUUUGAUGAUUU